AUUGAACGCUGGCGGAAUGCUUUACACAUGCAAGUCGAACGGCAGCACGGACUUCGGUCUGGUGGCGAGUGGCGAACGGGUGAGUAAUGUAUCGGAACGUGCCCAGUCGUGGGGGACAACGUAGUGAAAAUUACGCUAAUACCGCAUACGAUCUAUGGAUGAAAGCGGGGGAUCGCAAGCCCUCGCGCGAUUGGAGCGGCCGAUAUCAGAUUAGGUAGUUGGCGGGGUAAAUGCCGACCAAGCCAACGAUCUGUAGCUGGUCUGAGAGGACGACCAGCCACACUGGAACUGAGACACGGUCCAGACUCCUACGGGAGGCAGCAGUGGGGAAUUUUGGACAAUGGGCGAAAGCCUGAUCCAGCCAUUCCGCGUGCAGGAUGAAGGCCCUCGGGUUGUAAACUGCUUUUGUACAGAACGAAAAGGUUUCUACUAAUACUAGGAGCUCAUGACGGUACUGUAAGAAUAAGCACCGGCUAACUACGUGCCAGCCGCCGCAGUAA
rnacentral:rRNA from 1 species